CCAUGAGGGUGAUGCUCCGGUCCGGGGGCCACGGACCUUCUUCUCCAGGAAACCUCAGCAUUUGCUCUUCAGGCCUUCAACUGACGGAUGAGGCUGCCCACAUCAUCAAGCAUAAUCUUCACUUAAAGUCAAUUAAAGCCAAAGACAUCAGCCACAUCUGCAGACUAUCUGAACUAGUGAACAAGCCUCGAGCACCCAAGGAGCUUGUUUGGUGCAACUGUCAAGGCUGAGAAGGAAACUUCAUUCAGUCUGGGGUGAAUUGAAAUAGAAGUGACUGAAAUACACAGAUUCCUAAGAGAAGAGCAGCAUCACAGUAAGAAUGCCUUUAUUAUCCCAAAUUAGCUGCAAAAAUCCCUUCAGAGACUUGACAGAGAGGUAAAAAAGAGAUUUCUCACAGCAUCACAGAACAGGAAAACCCCA